rnacentral:rRNA from 1 species
AUUCCAGCUCCAAUAGCGUAUACUAAAGUUGUUGCAGUUAAAAAGCUCGUAGUUGAAUUUCUGGUCGUGGCGACCGGUCCGCCCCUCACGGGGUGUGCACCUGGUCUCUGCGUCCAUCCUCGGGGAGAGCGUAUCUGGCAUUCAGUUGUCGGGUGCGGGAUCCUCGUCAUUUACUGUGAGCAAAAUAGAGUGUUCAAAGCAGGCUUAGGCCGUUGAAUACAUUAGCAUGGAAUAAUAAGAUAGGACCUUGGUCUAUUUUGUUGGUUUGCAUUCCAAGGUAAUGAUUAAUAGGGAUAGUUGGGGGUAUUCGUAUUCAAUUGUCAGAGGUGAAAUUCUUGGAUUUAUGGAAGACGAACUACUGCGAAAGCAUUUACCAAGGAUGUUUUCAUUA